AAGCGAAGCGGUGACGUGGAGCGAAUCCCAAAAAUAACGUCCCAGUUCGGAUUGUAGUCUGCAACCCGACUACAUGAAGCUGGAAUCGCUAGUAAUCGCGAAUCAGAAUGUCGCGGUGAAUGCGUUCCCGGGCCUUGUACACACCGCCCGUCACACCAUGAGAGUUGGCAAUACCCAACGUACGUGAUCUAACCCGCAAGGGAGGAAGCGUCCUAAGGUAGGGUCAGCGAUUGGGGUGAAGUCGUAACAAGGUAGC
rnacentral:rRNA from 1 species